UCGAAGCAAAUUUUGUUAUUGAUUUAUUUUGUUAAAAAAAUGCAGCGCAUUUCACUCAAAGCAAUGUAUUACGAGCAAGAUGCUCGAGCAAAACUAAUGUCAAUAGAAAAUAAAGGCUUGUUAGUUCGAAAUGGCCAUGCCAAUGCACAUUUUUGUACAUUCGUUGAAGGACGCUUUUGCCAAAUGGGUGCGCCAUUUUAUUUGUCUCAAAAUACGUAGUAAAAAGUAUCGUCUGUGAUGGAUAUUUAGAAAAGUGACAUAAAUAUGUUAGUGAUCUCAGUGAAAAGAUAUACAAACACAGCAAUGGGUGGACCGCCGUGGUUUUUUUGGUUCAUCUUGGCCAUGAUUAUAUCAAGUAUCGUUGUAGUAAUAUGCCUAACAAUAUGUCGAUGCUUUCUGCGCAAAGAACCAAAAACCGGAAGAAACAUAACACCCAAUCACAAUAUGAGGAGCUCAGGCGAUCAGUUCAGUCAAAAUGCAUGGGAUAACCCAUCAGACUAUACGAGUAACGCAUAUGGCAUACAUGCUCAUACGACACAUAAUUGGGCACAUAAUAUGGCAAUGGCCAGUGACAACGGUAAUGACAUCAGAGUUGACAUUGGAGCCGGUUGUGACAGUGGGGGUGGACGUGACAGUGGCGGUGGAUGUGACAGUGGCGGUGGUGAUACUGGCGGUGGAUGUGACAGUGGCGGUGGUGAUACUGGCGGUGGAUGUGACAGUGGCGGUGGUGACACUGGCGGUGGAUGUGACAGUGGGGGAGGCGGUACUGAUUGAAGAAAAUUGGAACUCAUAUAAUUCAUUUUAUAGGAAGCUGGUCCCUAAGGUCCAUUAAUAUUAUAAAUGCAAAAGUUACUCUGUCUGUUACUUCUUUAUGCUUAAACUGCUGAACUGAUUUAGAUGAAAUUUGACAUGAAGAUAGUUUGAGGCCUGGGAAAGGAGAUAUAAUAGGUUUUAUUUAAAGUAAUUAUAUUGUAUGGAUAAGGUCUAUACAUUUUUUUUAUUGAUUUUUGUUACGAUAAUUACUAUCUAGAAACGUUAAAUCUUAAAUGACAGGUGCAAUGGGACGCAUCUCUCACCUUCAUUUUCUUUAAUUCGUUGUUUUUAAUUUGCCAUUUUUAAUCCCCGACGCAGAAAAGAGGUGUUACUUAUGUUUGACUCCAAUGUCUGCCUGAGUGUCUGUAUGUGGCAUCGUAACUCUCAAACGGAUGGACCUAUUUCUAUGUGUUUUUUUUUACGUAAAACCGAGUGUCCUUGCAGUGGUUUCUAGCUAUGUCUGAUAAAAAUCGAUCCAGCAGUUUGGAGAGUAUCAGCUGUUUUCCAAAAUGAUGUAAGGUAUUUUUGGUAUUCAAUGUUUUUUUUUUGCUUAAUGCGUAGAAAUUUUAUUUUAUUUUUAAUUUAAUAGUUAUUAUCAUUUUUUUUUUCUUUCCUAAAGGUAGGCAUUUUAAAAUAUGAAUAUAAAAAUAAAGAGAUCUUACAAGAUACGUAUAUAUUUAUUACAUUAUUAUUUGUGUUUCAUUCAUCUAUGGCUAUUCUAAGAUAGUUGGCUUGGAUUUUAGAUGUCUGUACCCCUAGUGUAAAUUUAUUCGAUAGCGAGACGUGACGUACGCGUUUGCGUGAAGUCUCAUUUUGUAUGGGAUUUUGAGUUUCCAAAACGUCCCGUGACGCGCUGUUUCUAAAUGCCAUACAAAAUGAGACUGUUUUUUUUAUGUAAUAGGCAGCAAACGAGCAGACGAGCUGCCUGAUAUGAAGCAGUCAUCGCCACCCAUGGACAUAUAAGCAACAUCGGAGGAGCCACUUAUGCGUUGCCAACCUUUGAGAACUCUAAAUACCUGCUUCGUGAAGAACCCCAUGUCAUAGCGCAAGGGACCUCAGAAGGUAGCUCAUUCCACAACUUGCACGUUCUGGGCAGAUCGCCACGUGUCGAGAAAGUGAAAAUGAACUUUGUUUCUUUGGCGGGAGGUGCGGUGAUAAAAACGCGACGGUGUCACCAAUUCAAAAAGUUCUUCACAACAUUCCCCAUUGUACAGACAGUAGAACAGGCAUAGAGAGCCAACAUCUCUCCGAAAACUGAGAGGUUCCAAACUGACUGUGAGAUCGGGGUCACCAACAAUACGAACUGCCCGACGUUGGAUGGAGUCAAGUGGAAGGAGUUGGUAUUUCGGUGCUUCAGACCAGAGGUGAGAACAGUACUCCAUAUGUGGUCCAACCUGCGCUUUGUAUAACGAAAGCCGGUGACCUGGUUUGAAGUACUGUUUCACUCUAUUGAGGCCAGUUUGGCUUUGAGUUCCAAAUGACCCCGAAAUUGGACUUCGUUCGUAAUGUCAACACCGAGUUUCCCGAUACUCUUGGAGAUGGUAAGGGGAAUCUGGAAUUUUGACGCAAAGACAAAUGGGGUUUUCUUAGUGGAAAACGCGCAAACUUGUGUCUUACUGGGGUUACACGAGAUAAUUUUUUGAUUUUUUCUUAAACACAUUCGAGUUUUCAAACGUAAAAUUUUAUAUAAAUAUUUUUUACUGCCCAAAUAUAAUUAUAUUGAACAUAUGAAAUACAUAUGCAUUUUUACAGCAUAAUAAUAAAUAAUAAUUCGGCCUAUACACGUCCCACAGCUGGUCUGAGGUCUCCUCUCAUAUCUCAUGCGCAAGAGGGCUUGAACUAUAGUCCCCACGCUGGCCCAAUGCGGAUUGGGGGCUUCACAUAUAGCUUUGAAUUUCUUCAAUUAUACAGGUUUCCUUCCCCGAAAAGCUAGUGGCAAAUAUCAUGCUAAUAUCAAAUGAUAUUUCGAACAAAAGUUCCGAAAAACUCAUUAAUAUGAGCCAGAAUUUAAGUAAAGCCGUGACCUCCGGAUUGAAAGUCGGACGUCAUAUCCACACCAUACGAACACAGUGCAACGCACGAUACUUAAAAACGAGACAGAGUUUUGUCUCUUUCACUUUCUAUUGAAGCGUUAGAGAUAACACUGUUGCAUUUAACAGGCAAACACUGUCAAGCACUCGAUUAUAGAUCUUAGCGGAUUGACUUCAAGUUGUAAAUGAGUUCACGAAUGCGAAUGAUAUUUAUAGACGCCAAUGACGCCAUGUUCGUUGCCGUGGCAUCGACACAGAACGAGAACUAGCACUCUCAUUUUUAGUUUGACACUUAUGUCAAUAAAGUAAGGUUUAAAUUUGUAUGCGUAAUGCAAUAUUGAUCACGGCAAGUUGAUAGUAAACAUUUCAUUUGGGCGUAGAUGCUGUUUUAUCAAAGACGCGUGGUAUUUUUAUUUACGUUUUUAUUUGGAGAAAUAUUUAGUAGACACUAGAAUAAUAUAAUUGUUGUUUUUCAACAAGUGUUUGAAUAGGAAUGUUCAGAGGAAAAUGAAUGAAGUGCUUGUGUUAUUUACGGCUUUCGCUGUUAUUAUUUUUGGAGUAUUGCGGAGCUCACCAUACGAGAUACGACGACGACAUACCUCACAUACCUAAUAUUCACAUUGACAGCGGACAUCAUAAUGACAGAGGCCAUCACAAUGAUAGGGAUGACAAUUGUCACAACAGCAGAAACGACCACGGAAGCUGUGACAACGAUACAGGCGGCGGUGACACGGGUGGUGGAUGUGACAGUGGCGGUGGGGACACCGGCGGUUGUGACAGUGGGGGAGGAUGUGACAGUGGGGGAGGCUGUGAUGACUGACGUUAAUAUAUAUUUGAUAUUUAGUGUAGUAAGAAUACGUUUGAAUUGUUUAAUUAAAAGGACGGAAGCACGGAAAACUUUAUGUGGAGAUUUAGCUAUGAAAAAACAGGGUAAAGAUGAAUAUGGCCAUGAUAGCUUUAUUUUAUACAAUCAAGCCAAUUAGAUCGUACACUGACAUAAGAAUGAUAUUUGAAUUGUAAUGCGUCUCGCCCUCGGCAAUUUAUGGACAAGUACGAGCGAAAGGAGAGAAUGUCUUCGUGAUAAUGAUUCGAGCGUGCUGCUGCAACGAUAAGCCUAAGCUUGUGAACCAGACACCCAGGGGCCGUUACGUGACCAAAAGAACUUUUGACUUGGACAGUGAUUUUCCCGAAUUCGACGUGCCGCCAGCCUAUGAUGAAGUCACGUUUACCAGUGGACGUGACAGUUGGGGAGGCCGUCACACCGGCGGUUGUGACACUGGAGGAGAUGAUGGUGGCGGCGGGUGUGACACUGGAGGUGGUGAUGGUGGCGGCGGUUGUGACACUGGAGGUGGUGAUAGUGGCGGUUGUGACAGUGGGGGAGGCGGUGGAUGGGACAGUGGGGGAGGCGGUGGAUGGGACAGUGGGGGAUGCGGUGGAUGGGACAGUGGAGGAGGCGGUGGUUGUGACAGUGGGGGUGGUUGUGACAGUGGUGGAGGAGGAGGUGGUAUUGAUUAAAUUUUUUAAGAAUGUUUUGUACGUUUAAUUUUCACGAAUGUUUUUAUGUAAAUAGUAAGCACAUCAUAUUUCAUUACACAGUAAUGCAAAUAAACUAGAUAUUAGAAUAAACUCAAUGGAAGCAAAUUCAUGAUUUAUGUAGUUAUUUAUUGUGGCCGUCUUUCGUAUGCGUUCGCUUGCGCUUCAAUGGCAUAAGUUGAUCAAAUACCAACCUAGAUUGCGCUGCUGGGGAAACAAAUGAAGUAUUCUGAAAUAUCUGAAUAAUUAAAAUAUUUUUUGCUAAAUUUAUUUUCCAGAUAACCUUAUUACCUCGUACCUCUCGGUCCAGGUACCUUAUACAAUUAGAGGUCAUUUGUAAUAACUAACUCAUGUAGUGUCAGCCAGUCGAGCAAGUUAUUAAAUAUUAGCUAGUCUAUGGUUUCGAAUUGAUAUUUCACUCAUAGAUUAAUAAAAAUUGAUCUCGGUCUGCAAUUUUACAUAGUGUAGUGCUACCUAUCCUUUUUGACCAAAGAUCCAGUCUGCCAUAAUAUUACGAUUAUUUUAGUUAAACUCCUAUUUGAGUGUACAUUGCUUUAAAAAAUGCGUAAGUGAAACUAGUAAAGGUGUGCCGGUUGGCAAUAAAGACGAUUUUAUAGUUGAUUACAUAUGUAAUAAGUGCAUUAUUGACGACCUGCACUGUGGGCCCAUUCUAGAUAUUAGUUAGUUUUUAUGUUUAUUUUGGCAUUAUCUGUAAAGAAAAGAGGUGACCUAGCGGCAAGAGCAUGCUACUUUCAAUCCGGAGGUUGUGGUUUCAAACCCCGGCUCGUACCAAUGAGUUUUUCGAAACUUAUGUACGAAAUAUCAUUUGAUAUUUACCAGUCGCUUUUCGGUGAAGGGAAACAUCGUGAGGAACACGGACUAAUCCCAAUAAGGCCUAGUUUACCCUCUGGGUUGGAAGGUCAGGUGGCAGUCGUUUUUGUAAAAACUAGUGCCUACGCCAAUUAUGGGGAUUAGUUGCCAAGCGGACCCCAGGCUCCCAUGAGCCGUGGAAAAAUGCUGGGACAACGCGAGGAAGAAGGAAGCAUUACCCAUGUAUAUGGGAACUGGACCAUAAAAAAAUAAUACUUCUCUUUUUUCUAAAUCUUUUUUUUAUUACUUACAACCAAUCUUAAUCUUAAUGACAUGCAUUAUUAUUUGCACAGUUAUAAGAUAUUUACGUCUAUUUUUCCAUGUGUGUAUAACACAAUCUUUUGAAAUAAUCAGCUUAGCUAAUGUAAGCCAUCAACUAGAAUAAAAAAAAAAACUGUUAUCGCCACAACAAGGAUUGAAGCUUCUGCCACAAUAAAACAGUAGGUAUAGAGGAUGGAACUGUUAUAAAUAAUAACCAUUCAUACCUAAGUAUUAUCAACAGAAAGGAAUUAUCACGAAUAAAAAGUAGCUAUACUAAUUUGCCAAUCCAAUCCGAGAAUCCAAUCCGACCCUCUAUCUUGUUUAUAAACCAGCUGAGCUGAGGCCAAAUCUAUGUGCUAUAAUAUUUAUUUAAGUUUUGCAUUGACAAUGAAUAUACUUGCUUAUUCAUAAUUUAGAUCAACGAACUUCGCUGCAGUAGAAUAAAGAAAUCUAAUGUGAUCUUGGUACCUACCAACAUCACUUUAGAUUUCUUUCUUCUUGAUGAUUCUAUGCUACUUUCCGGUUGCCCUUUAUCAAAAAGCCACCUGAAAGUAGCAUAGAACCAUAAAAUUAAUAAAUUAUGUUUUAUUGGUAUUAAGCACAUAACCGGAUCCACUAAAAGUACAUAACACGCACAGUGUAUUGGGAAAUUAUCUUGCACAAACGACACCAACGGUAAUUCAAUCCCUGGAUACACAUUUCAAACUGUGGAUAACAUGGCCUCACACGUCCACUUAUCACUAUUCGUGUCGCUUGGUGUUCUGACAAGUUCUUCUAGAUCGGCUGCAGUCAUCAAAGCCUACGUGUGCACUAUGAUACGGUUUAAUUUCAUGUUAAAAGUCUUCCCGUUAGUAAAAACGGCAUAAAUACAUUUAGGUAAAAUUAUCUUACCAAUAUGUUUAAUAAGAAAUUAGUCAGGUAAAAAGGUCCAAGCAAAAUUUAUCAUAAGAAUUAAUCGAGUAAAUAUGCUUAUUUUAUAGUCAAGUAAAACAAUAUAUAUGUAAAAAGCGGCAUGAAACAAAUCAAGAUAAAUUAUCUAGUCACUUUUCAAACAACAAUUUCAAACUUUUUGAGCUGCUUGUGGGGCAUAGGAAUAUCCUAGGUGGAAACCUAGGAUGCAUCCUAUGAAUUUUAUAGUUAUAAACCACAAGGAAAAUUAUUGUCAUUAUAAAAAAACCGGACAAGUGCGAAUCUGACUGGCCCACCGACGGUUCCGCACUUUUUAGUAUUUGUUGUUAUAGCGGUAUGUAUAUAUCAUCUGAGAAAAUUUCAACUAUUACUCGGGGCACUCAGAAGUCGCUCAGUGCCCUGAGGGCUCAAUAUAAUAACGGCUUUCUAAUAAUAGCUUGAAGCUGCCCCGCUUCUGUAGUGCUUCAAAAAUGUUUGCGGAGGCGCGCACAGACGGUUUUCACGCCAUCGUACGCAAAAGAACUGCCUCGCUAGUGAAUAGGAUGCGGAGCAGCUCUAACGGCAUCCUGAAAAUGUUUGUAGGAAAGCCUGAUUCUCCCAUGCACAAACAUAUUAAUAAAUUAAUGAUCAUGGGUAGUUUAAUUGCGUGAAUUUUAAUUUUGAAUUUUAAUUUAAUUGAGUUAUUUUAUUGUGAAUUUUAUGUUAAUUUAUUUAUAAUAUUGUGAAUUUCAAUUUAAUUUAUUAAUUAAUUAUUAAUUAUUAACAAUAGAUUUUAAGUCACUAUGUACCCCAAUGGAUCCUAGUUAUCUAAAUAAAGAAAAUUUAUUAUUAUUACGGUUCAUGAGAUACGGCCUGGUGACUGACGGACAGAUGGACGAAAGGACGGACAGUGGAGUCUUAGUUAUAGGCUCCUGUUUUAUCCUUUGGGUACGGAACCCUAAAAAAUACCGUCUAAGAUAUUUGUAUUGAUAUACACAAAGAAAGUAAGUAAACAAAAUUCUUACUAACCGUCACAUGGACGUAAGAAGAAAUAUUUAUACAUUUGUAAAUUUUAAACAUUUAUAGAUAGUCGCGGUACAAACAUAAGUAGAUACUGAUCAUCUGUUUGGCUGUUUAAUGGACUUUGUUUAUUUACUUAUUGCGAUUUCAACAUUUAAAAAAGUUUGCAACUCGACAAAUAAUGCAAUUUGUAUGCAACCUAAUGUUGCUGUCGCGAAAUCGAGACUGCAAUGGUUUUAGCUUUUUAAUUUUGGACUAACCAUUAACUACGCACUUCGCGACCUAUUUUUAACCGGCUAAGCUGACUUUGCCGUCCAUUUUUGAGUUUGUUUUAUUCUAAUUUAAAAAUACGGACGCAGAGUAAUCGAAGACUGCUUCCUUCCAAUUAUAUUCCGUAGAACCAUAAGAGAUAGAAAUAGUUCGAUACAGUGGUGCAAUAAUAACAGGAGAUUAUUUGCGGCCACGCAAAAUUAGAUCUUAGCCAAUUGAAUUAAUGAACAUAUCUAUUUAUAAUGUAAUCAAUUGGUUAAAUAUAGGUAAACUAGCCAUAGCACUCGCAAUGAGUCAUCGCAUCCACAAAGCGUAUGGUUUAUCCACGUGCGUUGGCUUGUCCAGACGUUGUUAGUUGGUCUAUAAUUUAGGACUUUAUAUCGCUGGGGUAAGAUUUAAAUUUGAAUGAGAAAUAUUUUCUUGUGGGGGAAUUCCAAUGUUAUUAAACCCAGACGGCAUGCUCGCGUGUUUGUUUCAUUCUGUCUCAGAAGUUGUUGAAUAAAGGCCAGGUCUGCGAUAUUAACUUAAAACUACAAUGGAAUUAAAUAAAUUCUUCUUUCCUAAAAAGCAGUACUCAAAGUGUUUAAACAUAUCUCUUCAAUAUAUGUGCUAAGGUGUAGUGAAAGAUCGUGAAAAAUGGAUGUCCCUCCAGGUCCCCCCUGGUUUUUUUGGUUAUUUGUGGCCUUUAUUUGUUCGGCUGCAUUCGGAAUCUUCCUGAUGACUAUAAUUCGAGCGUGCCAAUACUGCUGCAGGGAAAAGCCUAAGCCUCGCGCGAACCAGACCCGCAGGGGCCGUUACGUGACUAACAGAACUUCAGACAUGGAGAUUGGUUUUAGCCCCGGAUUCGACGCGCCGCCAGCCUAUGAUGACGUCAUGUUUACCAGUGGACGUGACAGUUGGGGAGGCGGUCACGCCGGCGGUUGUGACACUGGAGGUGGUGAUAGUGGCGGUGGUUGUGACAGUGGGGGAGGCGGUAGUUGUGACAGUGGGGGAGGCGGUGGCUGUGACAGUGGGGGAGGUGGUGGUUGUGACAGUGGGGGAGGCGGUGGUUGUGACAGUGGGGGCGGUUGUGACAGUGGUGGAGGAGGAGGUGGUGUUGAUUAGUAUUUUAAGAAUGUUUUGUACGUUUAAUUUUUACAAAUGUUUUAAUGUUUGUUUUAUUUCAUCGCACAAUAAUGGGAAUACACUUAAUGUUAAAUAAAACAAAAUGAAUGGAAACAGA